UUCUGUCCCAGGCGUUCUGAAAGCAGCUCCUCCUCGUCCUCUUGCUCCAGCUCCGUCUCCCGUUCCCCGGUUCCCUGCCGGUACCGGCUCCCCUACCCACAGUCCUGGAACCGCUCUCGGUCCACAUCAAAGUCCUGGACUCAGUCUGGUUCCAGAUCUAGGUCCAGAUCCCCCACCACACUGGCCUACAGCAGGGCCCAGAGGUGGAGGGACUGCUGCAGCUCCAACAACAUCAGGGACUCCAGGAAACCAAAGAGACAACAAGAUAUGAGGAAUCAAAAACUAAAAGCCAUAGUGAGUACUGUGUAGUACAUUACAAAUCGUGGUACACCUUGUGUUUUUGCUGUUAACAUUUUAGAAAUAUAUUUUUAAAAUACUUUUUAAGAUGUUAAAUGUAAAUGUGACAUUACGUCCUGAUUUGAUUUGGAGACCAAAUUGCCACCAACUGUCCUCUUCGGUUCCCACCAGAUGGCCAAGCUGCAAAUUGAAGAUUGGCUAUAUCAUAAACAUUUCUGGAAACCAACAUGAGCUUUUUGCUCUUGGAUUUAGGUCAGGAAUAAGGUUAGCAGUGGGGUCAGGGUUAAUGUAGGAUGAGUUGGAUUUAGGUCAGGAAUAAGGUUAGCAGUGGGGUCAGGGUUAAUGUAGGAUGAGUUGGAUUUAGGUCAGGAAUAAGGUUAGCAGUGGGGUCAGGGUUAAUGUAGGAUGAGUUGGAUUUAGGUCAGGAAUAAGGUUAGCAGUGGGGUCAGGGUUAACGUAGGAUGAGUUGGAUUUAGGUCAGGAAUAAGGUUAGCAGUGGGGUCAGGGUUAAUGUAGGAUGAGUUGGAUUUAGGUCAGGAAUAAGGUUAGCAGUGUGGUCAGGGUUAAUGUAGGAUGAGUUGGAUUUAGGUCAGGAAUAAGGUUAGCAGUGGGGUCAGGGUUAAUGUAGGAUGAGUUGGAUUUAGGUCAGGAAUAAGGUUAGCAGUGGGGUCAGGGUUAAUGUAGGAUGAGUUGGAUUUAGGUCAGGAAUAAGGUUAGCAGUGUGGUCAGGGUUAAUGUAGGAUGAGUUGGAUUUAGGUCAGGAAUAAGGUUAGCAGUGGGGUCAGGGUUAACGUAGGAUGAGUUGGAUUUAGGUCAGGAAUAAGGUUAGCAGUGGGGUCAGGGUUAAUGUAGGAUGAGUUGGAUUUAGGUCAGGAAUAAGGUUAGCAGUGGGGUCAGGGUUAAUGUAGGAUGAGUGGGAUUUAGGUCAGGAAUAAGGUUAGCAGUGUGGUCAGGGUUAAUGUAGGAUGAGUUGGAUUUAGGUCAGGAAUAAGGUUAGCAGUGUGGUCAGGGUUAAUGUAGGAUGAGUUGGAUUUAGGUCAGGAAUAAGGUUAGCAGUGUGGUCAGGGUUAAUGUAGGAUGAGUUGGAUUUAGGUCAGGAAUAAGGUUAGCAGUGUGGUCAGGGUUAACGUAGGAUGAGUUGGAUUUAGGUCAGGAAUAAGGUUAGCAGUGGGGUCAGGGUUAAUGUAGGAUGAGUUGGAUUUAGGUCAGGAAUAAGGUUAGCAGUGUGGUCAGGGUUAACGUAGGAUGAGUUGGAUUUAGGUCAGGAAUAAGGUUAGCAGUGUGGUCAGGGUUAAUGUAGGAUGAGUGGGAUUUAGGUCAGGAAUAAGGUUAGCAGUGGGGUCAGGGUUAAUGUAGGAUGAGUUGGAUUUAGGUCAGGAAUAAGGUUAGCAGUGUGGUCAGGGUUAAUGUAGGAUGAGUUGGAUUUAGGUCAGGAAUAAGGUUAGCAGUGGGGUCAGGGUUAAUGUAGGAUGAGUGGGAUUUAGGUCAGGAAUAAGGUUAGCAGUGUGGUCAGGGUUAAUGUAGGAUGAGUGGGAUUUAGGUCAGGAAUAAGGUUAGCAGUGGGGUCAGGGUUAAUGUAGGAUGAGUUGGAUUUAGGUCAGGAAUAAGGUUAGCAGUGUGGUCAGGGUUAAUGUAGGAUGAGUUGGAUUUAGGUCAGGAAUAAGGUUAGCAGUGUGGUCAGGGUUAAUGUAGGAUGAGUUGGAUUUAGGUCAGGAAUAAGGUUAGCAGUGUGGUCAGGGUUAAUGUAGGAUGAGUUGGAUUUAGGUCAGGAAUAAGGUUAGCAGUGUGGUCAGGGUUAAUGUAGGAUGAGUUGGAUUUAGGUCAGGAAUAAGGUUAGCAGUGGGGUCAGGGUUAAUGUAGGAUGAGUUGGAUUUAGGUCAGGAAUAAGGUUAGCAGUGGGGUCAGGGUUAAUGUAGGAUGAGUUGGAUUUAGGUCAGGAAUAAGGUUAGCAGUGGGGUCAGGGUUAAUGUAGGAUGAGUUGGAUUUAGGUCAGGAAUAAGGUUAGCAGUGGGGUCAGGGUUAAUGUAGGAUGAGUUGGAUUUAGGUCAGGAAUAAGGUUAGCAGUGGGGUCAGGGUUAAUGUAGGAUGAGUUGGAUUUAGGUCAGGAAUAAGGUUAGCAGUGGGGU